rnacentral:rRNA from 1 species
AUUGAACGCUGGCGGAAUGCUUUACACAUGCAAGUCGAACGGCAGCACGGGGGCAGCCCUGGUGGCGAGUGGCGAACGGGUGAGUAAUACAUCGGAACGUGCCCUGUCGUGGGGGAUAACGUAGCGAAAGUUACGCUAAUACCGCAUACGAUCUGAGGAUGAAAGCGGGGGACCUUCGGUCCUCGCGCGAUCGGAGCGCCCGAGGUCAGAUUGGGUAGUGGGUGGGGAAAAGGCCUACCAAGCCGACAAUCUGUAGCUGGUCUGCGAGGUCGACCAGCCACACUGAGGCUGAGAAACGGCCCAGACUCCUAGGGGAGGCAGAGGUGGGAAAUUUUGGACAAUGGGGGCAAGCCUGAGCCAGCCAUUCGGCGUGGAGGAGGAAGGCCUUCGGGUGGUAAACUGCUUUUGUACGGAACGAAAAGGCUCUGGCUAAUACCUGGGGCUCAUGACGGUACCGUAAGAAUAAGCACCGGCUAACUACGU